rnacentral:rRNA from 1 species
UAGAGUUUGAUCCUGGCUCAGGACGAACGCUGGCGGCGUGNCCUAAUACAUGCAAGUAGAACGCUUGAAGAGAGGAGCUUGCUCCUUCUUGGAUGAGUUGCGAACGGGUGAGUAACGCGUAGGUAACCCUGCCUUGGUAGCGGGGGAUAACUAUUGGAAACGAUAGCUAAUACCGCAUAACAAUGGAUGACACAUGUCAUUUAUUUGAAAGGGGCAAUUGCUCCACUACAAGAUGGACCUGCGUUGUAUUAGCUAGUAGGUGAGGUAAUGGCUCACCUAGGCGACGAUACAUAGCCGACCNUGAGAGGGUGAUCGGCCACACUGGGAACUGAGACACGGNCCCAGACUCCUACGGGAAGGCAGCAGUAGGGAAUCUUCGGCAAUGGGGGGCAACCCUGACCGAGCAACGCCGCGUGAGUGAAGAAGGUUUUCGGAUCGUAAAGCUCUGUUGUAAGUCAAGAACGGGUGUGAGAGUGGAAAGUUCACACUGUGACGGUAGCUUACCAGAAAGGGACGGCUAACUACGUGCCAGCAGCCGCGGUAAUACGUAGGUCCCGAGCGUUGUCCGGAUUUAUUGGGCGUAAAGCGAGCGCAGGCGGUUUGAUAAGUCUGAAGUUAAAGGCUGUGGCUCAACCAUAGUUCGCUUUGGAAACUGUCAAACUUGAGUGCAGAAGGGGAGAGUGGAAUUCCAUGUGUAGCGGUGAAAUGCGUAGAUAUAUGGAGGAACCACCCGGUGGCGAAAGCGGCUCUCUGGUCUGUAACUACGCUAGGNCGAAGC